rnacentral:rRNA from 1 species
UACGUAGGGUGCGAGCGUUGUCCGGAAUUACUGGGCGUAAAGAGUUCGUAGGCGGUUUGUCGCGUCGUUUGUGAAAACCCGGGGCUCAACUUCGGGCUUGCAGGCGAUACGGGCAGACUUGAGUGUUUCAGGGGAGACUGGAAUUCCUGGUGUAGCGGUGAAAUGCGCAGAUAUCAGGAGGAACACCGGUGGCGAAGGCGGGUCUCUGGGCCGAAAUUGACGCUGAGGAGCGAAAGCGUGGGGAGCGAACAGG